GAUGAACGCUGGCGGCGUGCUUAACACAUGCAAGUCGAACGGGAAGCCUUUUAUUGAAGCUUCGGCAGAUUUAGCUGGUUUCUAGUGGCGGACGGGUGAGUAACGCGUGGGUAACCUGCCCUAUGCAGGGGGAUAACAACCAGAAAUGGUUGCUAAUACCGCAUAAGCGCACAGGACCGCAUGGUCCGGUGUGAAAAACUCCGGUGGUAUAGGAUGGACCCGCGUUGGAUUAGCUAGUUGGUGAGGUAACGGCCCACCAAGGCGACGAUCCAUAGCCGACCUGAGAGGGUGACCGGCCACAUUGGGACUGAGACACGGCCCAAACUCCUACGGGAGGCAGCAGUGGGGAAUAUUGCACAAUGGGCGAAAGCCUGAUGCAGCGACGCCGCGUGAGCGAAGAAGUAUUUCGGUAUGUAAAGCUCUAUCAGCAGGGAAGAUAAUGACGG
rnacentral:rRNA from 1 species